ensembl:snoRNA
CAGAAUAUUGCCAAGGACUGUGACUGGUUGUGGCCAAGGAUCACCAAUUGCACGCAAGAGUAAUGUAAAGAAACUGUCAACCCAGGCCAACCUAAUGCCUACAGCUAUCACUCACCUUUAAUGUCUCA